CGCCCCGCCUCUUCCCUAGAUUUUCCGCCCAAUCCCUCCCCUAGAUUUUCCUCCCAGCCCCUCCAGGUUUCUGAGAUGAAACACUAGUUGAGUUUGGAGCGGGAAGGGACGCCCCUGCUUCUCCUAAAUCCGUCUGGUUUUCGUUACGUUGCCUUUAGGCUCCAACUGGAACAGAAUUUUUUUUUUUUUUUUUAACCUGGGAUCUGAGGAAUCUGAUAAAUGGACGAGCUCCAAUCGCCUCCACGAAUACUUUUCCCCACGCCCUUUUUAGUUUCACACCUAAUUUUUCUGAGUAUAACUGUGGAGGGACAGUCCUAACAUCAGAUUCUCAAAAGGAUCCACGACUUCCCUGUUAACUCUGUAUAAUACCACUUGCUCUCAGGUGGAUCCGUUUGGUCCAAGGCGGGAAAAUACGUGUGUAGGGUUAUUAGAGGAUGGGAAGGUGGGAGAGCGGUCCCUGCACUGGCUUGCGCUCGAGCAAGAUGCAGAUGUUCAGCUCUUAAUGGUGAACCAGUGAGAUGCGAAGGUGGGCGAGGCUCGUGCCUCCUUGGGACUCAGUUGACUUGGGGUAAAGCGAGAGGUUGACCUCUAAGAAGCGCCCUGGUAACCCUGGUGUUGGGGCGGGGGUCCAGAAGCGGCUAGAGAGAGCUAUUGGUUCCAGCAGAACCACGCCCAGCCCACGCACGUCCCGCUGCCGUCCCCAAACUAUUCACACAUAACUAUUCACACACACGUGCACAACGUAAAUUUGCCCCCUCCAGCGGAACCGCAAAAUCAAGGAGGGGAUUGUGCUCACGUUUCCUGCAAGUUGCACUCCCCCACUCCUGAAUGGCUCCUUUGUGUUGUAUUUUACACAGUUUUGACCUUGGGCCGUGAGUUGGAUACGAACAAGAAAUGUCUGGUUUGUCUCUUUCCUUCUUAAAUUAAUGGUCCUUUCCUCUGUGAAACUGCCUUUUAUUUGGCAGUUUCACUUAAUUUUGCCUUUACGCGGGUCUUUAUUUAUAUUUAUGCAAGGUCGCCGCCUGAUGGUUACAAUUGGGAACAGAGUCAAAGUUGGAAGUCAUAGGAAAGACACAAGUUGGCAUCAAAUUAACAGAGGAGAAUACGGUCACGUCUUUUGGAAAUGAGAGUAGAAAUCAAAGUUGGUAAUGAGGUUCAACUUGUCAAAAACGCUAAAACAAAAUUUAUGCAGUUAAAAAAUGAGUCAAGAGAAAUAUAAUAAAGGAAAUGGCGCCCUCUAAUGGGCAUCUAGAGGAAAUGAGCUUCAAAAAGGGGUUUUCUUUUUUCUUUGUCUAUACUCUGCAAAAGUAAAGAAAAUAAAUUGCUUAACUGUAAAUGUACAAGGGGAAAUUAUCUGGAGUAUUUCUCCAGAAAAAAAAGAUCAUUGGGGUUUAUAUUAAUAUAUUUAAAUUACUUGAUGGCUUAAAAUGUAAAGAUAAGUAUGCUUUCAGCGGAACCUCAGGAUCCCUUGAAUGUUAAAUUGCACCCCCAGGAUAUAUAUGCAGCAAGUUCAAUA
rnacentral:lncRNA from 1 species